GAUGAACGCUGGCGGCGUGCCUAAUACAUGCAAGUCGAGCGAACAGAUAAGGAGCUUGCUCCUUUGACGUUAGCGGCGGACGGGUGAGUAACACGUGGGUAACCUACCUAUAAGACUGGGAUAACUUCGGGAAACCGGAGCUAAUACCGGAUAAUAUUUCGAACCGCAUGGUUCGAUAGUGAAAGAUGGUUUUGCUGUCACUUAUAGAUGGACCCGCGCCGUAUUAGCUAGUUGGUAAGGUAACGGCUUACCAAGGCGACGAUACGUAGCCGACCUGAGAGGGUGAUCGGCCACACUGGAACUGAGACACGGUCCAGACUCCUACGGGAGGCAGCAGUAGGGAAUCUUCCGCAAUGGGCGAAAGCCUGACGGAGCAACGCCGCGUGAGUGAUGAAGGUCUUCGGAUCGUAAAACUCUGUUAUUAGGGAAGAACAUAUGUGUAAGUAACUGUGCACGUCUUGACGGUACCUAAUCAGAAAGCCACGGCUAACUACGUG
rnacentral:rRNA from 1 species